GGUUGACCUCGGAUCAGGUAGGGAUACCCGCUGAACUUAAGCAUAUCAAUAAGCGGAGGAAAAGAAACCAACAGGGAUUGCCUCAGUAACGGCGAGUGAAGCGGCAACAGCUCAAAUUUGAAAUCUGGCCCUUGGGCCCGAGUUGUAAUUUGUAGAGGGAGUUUCGGGCGCGGCGCCGGCCUAAGUUCCUUGGAACAGGGCGUCAUAGAGGGUGAGAAUCCCGUACGUGGCCGGCGAUCAAGCCCAUGUGAAGCCCCUUCGACGAGUCGAGUUGUUUGGGAAUGCAGCUCAAAACGGGUGGUAAAUUCCAUCUAAAGCUAAAUACCGGCCAGAGACCGAUAGCGCACAAGUAGAGUGAUCGAAAGAUGAAAAGCACUUUGGAAAGAGAGUUAAACAGUACGUGAAAUUGUUGAAAGGGAAGCGCUUGCGGCCAGACUUGCCCGGGGGCGAUCAGCCUCCCUUCGGGGUGGUGCACUCGCCCACGGUCAGGCCAGCAUCGGUUUCGGCGGCCGGACAAAGGCUUCGGGAACGUGGCUCCCUCCGGGGAGUGUUACAGCCCGGGGUGCAAUGCGGCCAGCCGGGACCGAGGACCGCGCUUCGGCUAGGAUGCUGGCGUAAUGGCCGUAAGCGACCCGUCUUGAAACACGGACCAAGGAGUCUAACAUCCAUGCGAGUGUUUGGGUGUCAAACCCAUGCGCGGAAUGAAAGUGAACGGAGGUGGGAACCCCUUCCGGGGCGCACCAUCGACCGAUCCUGAUGUCUUCGGAUGGAUUUGAGUAGGAGCAUGGCUGUUGGGACCCGAAAGAUGGUGAACUAUGCCUGAAUAGGGUGAAGCCAGAGGAAACUCUGGUGGAGGCUCGCAGCGGUUCUGACGUGCAAAUCGAUCGUCAAAUUUGGGUAUAGGGGCGAAAGACUAAUCGAACCAUCUAGUAGCUGGUUUCAGCC
rnacentral:rRNA from 1 species